UACAGGGGGGGCAAGCGUUGUUCGGAAUUACUGGGCGUAAAGGGCGCGUAGGUGGCCAACUAAGUCAGACGUGAAAUCCCUCAGCUUAACUGGGGAACUGCGUCUGAUACUGGAUGGCUUGAGUUUGGGAGAGGGAUGCGGAAUUCCAGGUGUAGCGGUGAAAUGCGUAGAUAUCAGGAGGAACACCGGUGGCGAAGGCGGAUCUCUGGGCCUGUUCUGACGCUGAGGCGCGAAAGCUAGGGGAGCGAACAGG
rnacentral:rRNA from 1 species